rnacentral:misc_RNA from 1 species
GAUGAAGAACGCAGCGAAAUGCGAAAAGUAAUGUGAAUUGCAGAAUUCAGUGAAUCAUCGAAUCUUUGAACGCACAUUGCGCCCGCUGGUAUUCCAGCGGGCAUGCCUGUUCGAGCGUCAUUACACCCAACUCAGGCUUAGGCUUGGCUAAUGGGCGGGCCGUCGGAGCGUAUGCUCUCGGUCGGUCUAAAAACUGCAAAUCUAGGGUCUGCAGUAUGCCCGCUCUAGGUGUUGAAAUAACCAUCCGCCUAAGCGUUAUUCUGCAUGAUCACGGUGCGCGGCGUUGUAACAGCUUUGAUUAGCCUACUCGGCGCCAGCGUAUUCGCCUAAAUUGACCUCGAAUCAGGUAGGGACACCCGCUGAACUUAAGCAUAUCAAUAAGCGGAGGA